GAAGGGAAGGCAAGGGAAGGGAAGGGAAGGCAAGGGAAGGGAAGGGAAGGAAAGGAAAAUUCCUAAAACAUGGGACUUUUGAAAAACUAGUUCAGCACAUCAGAGUUGUGUGUACGGAGACUCCUUCUUUAGCACCUUAAUCAGAAGUAUUGCCUGUAAGUUGUGUAAGAUCAUUGUCCAUCAUUCAUGCUGAUGAAUAAUUUAUUCUUAAUUUGUUAUCAUCUCAGGAGGUGUUCAAGGCAUCUACAUGAUAUGUAUUUUAUCACAGCAACCUGAAUGAAAAGUAUGUGUAUUUGUGUGCUGUUGCUCUUCCUGUCCUGCUUAUAUAACAUUUCACACUCCAUAUUUAAAAUACUACAUAUAUUAUUGUUUCUUCACUUAUACAAAUUGUUAUUUUCUGGGAUAAUUGGUCUUGCCAAAGAUAAGGCCAUCUCAUUGCAUCUGAAUCACCAAUAGCAAGAGUUGUUGCAUAUUUCUCAGGAAGUCCAUCAGUAUAAAUAUCCUCAUCAUUUUCUACUCUAUACCAAUCAUUUAAUUAGUUGUUUUUCUCUAAUUCUUUCCUUAAUUAAACUUUUCCUGGUCUUCCUUACUUCUUCAGGAGGUCUGCAGUUGAUGUGCAUUGCACUAGUGUUUUGGUAUGGUAUAUGAAGUUAUGGCCGUAGUACAAUGUAGUAUAGACAGACUUGAGUUAAAAUUAUACUUGAUCACUUUGCUUUCAGCAUCAGCCUGGAAAGAACAUUUUCAGUUCAGUAGCAGCUGUAAAUUAUGCUCCACAAAAGGGGAGGGGGGAGAGGCCUUGCACUGUAUUUUGUAUUUCAACAGCUAUCCUGUGACUGUAAAUCAAACAAUUUGACUUAAAAUUUAACAAAGUGUUCUCCCAGUACUACACUAAAGAGUCUUUUAUCCAUAAUGUUGAUGAACCUAAAAUUAAUGUUAUGAAUUCUCUUGUUCUAUUUUAAGAAUAUAUGGUUGUUACACUGAUGUCUCACAUCUGUGCAAAGAAAAUGCUGUUUCACCACCUGCAACAUCUCUCUGUAUUUGAAGAGAUGUCUGGUUUUCUGAAGUAAGCAAAGAUGUUUGAUUUUCUUUACAUUAACAUAACCUUUGUUCUUUUCUUCUCAAGCUGAGCUCCUUGCUGUACACAUGUAAAUUUUAUCUCUUCUUUACUUAGUACGAGAAUUCCCAGUCGUGGACUUCUGUAUGUCAGUGAACCAACAGGCUGUAUACUCUAUUACCAUGACAGAAAACAGUGCACUGGCAACAGCAUCACAAACACACAGAAUCCGGAGGCCUUCCAAGUGUCACUAUAGUAAAGUUUACACAGCCUUUGGACUAUACAUUAAAAGUGAGUGGAAAGGUUUCUACCAGUGUUAACUCUUCCACAUUAAAGGAAAGUACUGUGUACAUAUGGCAUAAUACUAGUAAUAGAAGACCUUGUUUCUCUUAUUGGAAAUCUUAUUUCCACCCUUUUGUUUGUGUGAGACUUUAUGGAGCAUAUUUUAUAUUCAUUAUUUUCAGAGGAAGAAGGUGAGCUACUACUUGCUCUUUUUCAAGUUAUUUGAAUGUUGAAGAGACAAAGGAAAAAUGAGCAGAAUAAUUUACCAUAUACCUGUUCACAAAAUCUCAGCAUAAUUUUAAAGUUUUAUUUUAUGACUUUUUUUUCCCUGAGAUUCUGGGUUCAUUAUCAAAGAAAAAAUGUUUACUAUUCUUAAAACCUAAUCACAGUAAUCUGCUGCAGAUAGCAUGAAGUAACUCUUUCCAGAGAUAUCCUAAUUUCCUUAUAUUGUUUUAUUUGUUUCCUAUUUAAAGAUUUUGUAUUCAGUCUACAUUUUUUGUUUAUUAUAUUAUCUUGCAACAUAUUUCUUAGUGAUAAUAUCAAUUUGAUUUAGGUAAUGUAUUACAGCUUCUCUGUUCAAAAAUGUCUUGAUGACUGACUUGACAUUUACUAUUCCUUCCCUCAAAAAAAAAUAAGAAAGCAACAAAAAGCAUCUUCAGUGCACUAUAGAUCUUUAGCUGAAUUUUGAGACAGAAUAAAUCUAUUUUUCCAUAGCAGAAAGUCUAUGUUGUAACAUAGUUUUAAUGAUAAGCAUUUCCCCAUAUUGAUCAAAAUACUUUGUUGUAGUUUAUUCUGAGAUAGUAGUUCUCCACUAAGCUGUGUUGUUUGGCAGUAAAGGACAGAAUCACCACGGUUGUGUAGUACACAUGGUUUUGGAGGGGAACACUUGAUAGAAGAUAAGGAGUUCCCUAUUUAUUUGGAAAGCUCAGUCCUUGUCCUUUCAUAACUGCUUUCACAUUGAAAUAUGUAAAGACCUGCCAUUGGAUGACUGAGACUUUACAGGUGAGUAUGAUUUCAGACAUAAUUCUAGGGAUUUAUGCUAUAUUCUAUUCAGUGAUCAUUCUGACAUAGUCAUCACAAUGUCUGUUGCUCCACCUGCAUUGCAGUCUUUCCAAAAUCAGAGGGAAAUGUGUUAAAUUUAAAUGAUAUGGAAAUAUUUUUAAAGUCUACAUAACUCAGACAGAUAUGAUAGUAUUACUUCACUUAGUAUAAAUACAAAGUCUAGAAAUUAAUGGAAAGAUUUCUGAAAAAUCCUCUGCAUAUCAUUUGAUAUAAACAUGUCUUGUCCACCCAUUUCCUAUGUUCAACAAAGCCAUGGUUCUGUUAAACAGUGAUAUGUUCUCCAUAUAUGAAACUAUUAUAUAUUAACAAUAUAAAUAAAAUACAAUAAUACAAAAUAUAUACCAGUGUAGCUACAGUUCUGUCUACUUUCUAUCUAGUAGAACUCUAGUUCUAGUAGAUAGAACUGUCUACAGUUCUAUCUACUUUCCUUUCCCCAUAUUCUCUGGUUCUUUUCUGCUUACCAUUAUCAGAAAAAAUAUUCUUCAAACUGACUGGAGUUGACAACUUUUUCUUGCUAUUAUAUUAUCUUUAAGGUUUGCUCUUGAUCCAGUCUAACAUUUUUCUCUUUGAGCAAAAAGGUAACAGUUUGAAAGAUGAGGGCAAUGUAAUAAUUGUCUUUUUCCACGUAUCUGAUAGUAUAAAGUGAGACUUUGAACUGAUUUUUGCUGUGAUGGACUUAACUUUAUUCAUAGCAGCAAAUAUGUCACUAUGCUUUUGACUUGUAGCUCGAAUAGUGUUGAUAACACACCAGUGCUUGACUACAGAUGAGUAGUGCUUGCAUGACAUCAAAGCUUCCUCUUUCCAUUCCAGAUUCCAGAAAAAUGAGUAUGUGGUGUGUGGGCGAGAGGCUGGGAGAGAACAUAGCUAAGAUAACUGACCUAAACUGUCUAAAAGGAUGCUCCAUACAAUACGACAUCAUGCUCAACAAUAAUAAGCACAAGGAAAGGAGUAGGAAAGUCGGAUAUUCAUAGCUAUAAUAUUCAUCUUCCCAAGCACCAGUCAUGAUAAGGUCCUGUGUCCCAGGAAGUCUGAAAAUCUACAUGUUGAUGGGAAGCACCAACUGAAUAUUGCUUUUUGCUUUUCUCAUAGACUGGAGUAAGCAAGAGGCAAAGAUGAGUCUGUCCAAUGACCAGUGUCAACCCAUGACAGACUUCAAAUGGAUAUAAGUGUGGAAGUUCGUAUUUGAAGAUACAUAUGGAUUUGUUUACAUAUAUAGAAUUGUGUUGAGUUCUGUUAAUUGCACAGUUUUUUUCAGUGGAACACAGUGGUAUAUCCUGAAGCAAAUCAUACUGCAAAUUAAAAUGCACAGAGAUCAGAUCCUAUUUUUUCAUUAUGGAAAAAAAAAAUAAUUUACAGUCAUUUCUUUUCUGCAUGAAAAAUCCAAGACCUGAAAAAGGCACUUGUUCACACUAUGGUUGGGAGGUUUUGAACAGCAUAUUUUAAGCAGCUAAAGCAGCCUUCCAUGUCUUUUGGAAAUAGAAAUCCAAUGAAAUUUUCCUAUAGGAGAUAUCGUCAAAUCAAAAGUAGGAGAUUAACAAAUUAAACAAGUCAAAGAAGACCUGAACAAUCAGACCACGCACUCUAACCAUCAACAAAAUUCUGAGUGCAUAUGUAUGUCUCAAAAUAUAUAUGCAUACAUAUAUGCAUUUACUAUACUACCAAGAAAGUUUCUUGGUAGUUCUUUCGGGUUAAUAAAAUCGGGUUAAUAAAAUAAAAUCUGUGGGAAAGGUGAAAUCUGUGUGAUGUAUCUGUCAAAAUAUUCAUUACAAAUAAAAUUCUUUAUACUUUUUAA